rnacentral:tmRNA from 1 species
GGGGGCGUUUUUGGAUUCGACGGGGAUAGUUUGAGCAUGGGUAGCGGGUAGUGGGGACGCGUCCGCUUCAACAACGCUAACGCCAAAUUUAAACGGCAAACAACAAAACAACUUCGCUUUAGCAGCUUAAUAACCUGCUAGCGAGCUUCUACCCUGCAUCGCCCAUGUGCCGGGAUAGGGGCCCAACCUUAGUGGGAUACGCUGUCCAGUCUCCGCCUGGGGCUGGCUGAAGAAGACAAUCAGGCUGACCUGAGAAGAACCCGGUUGCAGGGGGCCUCCUCAGGUGACAUCAAAACUGCAACUACACCCGUAGAAGCCUGUGUGGCGAUAUUUUCGGACAGGGGUUCGACUCCCCUCGCCUCCACCA